GCAGCCAGGGAGGCAGGAGCUGGACUGUGAGCAUCGCAAGAUCUGCUCUAGCUGAGUGAAGGAUGGCAGCUCUGAGAGGUUUGAGCACCAUGGUUUAGCCAGAUGGCUUUGAGUUCAGUUAUAGCCAGGAGGCUUGAGGGUCAGAUGCUACUGAACUAUCCUUGGACAUGAGAGGGGGCAGACUCAUGGGGGAGGAAGUAGUCCCGUGCAGCAGGCUUUUGUUACUGAUGAUUACUCAAGGAGAGAGAUGCACCAUAAAAAAUAAAGAACAAAAAAAAGCAAAAGGCCAGGAAGCUA